UACGAAGGGGGCUAGCGUUGUUCGGAAUCACUGGGCGUAAAGGGCGCGUAGGCGGCUUUGUAAGUCGGGGGUGAAAGCCUGUGGCUCAACCACAGAAUUGCCUUCGAUACUGCAUGGCUUGAGACCGGAAGAGGUAAGUGGAACUGCGAGUGUAGAGGUGAAAUUCGUAGAUAUUCGCAAGAACACCAGUGGCGAAGGCGGCUUACUGGUCCGGUACUGACGCUGAUGUGCGAAAGCGUGGGGAGCAAACAGG
rnacentral:rRNA from 1 species